rnacentral:rRNA from 1 species
CUAACGAGCGCAACCCCUAUCAUUAGUUGCCAUCAGGUCAAGCUGGGGACUCUAAUGAAACUGCCUACGCAAGUAGUGAGGAAGGUGGGGAUGACGUCAAGUCAUCAUGGCCCUUACGGCCUGGGCUACACACGUGCUACAAUGGUCGGUACAAAGGGUUGCCAAGCCGCGAGGUGGAGCUAAUCCCAUAAAACCGAUCGUAGUCCGGAUCGCAGUCUGCAACUCGACUGCGUGAAGCUGGAAUCGCUAGUAAUCGCGCAUCAGCCAUGGCGCGGUGAAUACGUUCCCGGGCCUU